rnacentral:lncRNA from 1 species
GGGAGGGAGGGAGGGGGGGCAGGGGGGGACGUCGGGGCCUGGGGGGCCGCGGGGACAAUAUUUCAUUCCGUCAGGUGCAGAAACCCGCCCCCUUUAUUCUCAAGAAGCACUGAGUUUAUGCCGAUCCCGUUGUACAAACUUAACGCAUAGAAAGUCAUUUCAGCCUCUGGGCCCCCAGCACCCUCCUGCCCUCACACCCAAGGCUUGGAGCAGGGUGCCUCAGUUUCCCCGGCCGGCUGGCACAGAGCUCCCGCACGGCGCCAAGCCCUGGGCCUCGGUGUCUGCUGAGGGCUCCACAGGGGGCUGGGACCCGACCCGGGGUGGCCUGGCCGGGGCCCCUGGUGGCCUUGGGGCGGCAGACCCCCCGGGGCUCCGAGGGGGUGGGAAGCGGCGGCUGGAGGGCUGGCGGCGGCUGAUAAGGCGCCAACAAUGGGCCUCUGUGCCUCACCCGCCUGGUUUGUCCCCGCGGGCCUGGCGGGAGGGGGCGGGUGUGCACGGGCGUGCGCUGGUGUCACGGAGGCCCCUAGACCGGGGGCUCGCACAGCACGCUCGGGGCCCACGCUCUCACCCACGGCCACUCGCACGCACACACUCGGACACGAGCCCACGCACAGAUUUGCACGCAUUCUCGCUCACAGGCUCUGACACCCUCCCUCUCCCACAUGCACACUCACACUGUCCCAUUUACACACUCAGGGCUGUCACACAAUGCAGACGUGAUGACACGUGCACACUCCUAUUUUCACACUCACAAGCACACACAGGGAUUUCUCACAUACUUAUCACACUUACUGGGACAGUGUCACACUCGCACACUGGCGUGUUUUCACACAGACACACUCACAUUGGGCAUUUUCACACUCAACAUUUGCACACAUGAUGUGACCACGACCACACACUAGUGUGUUUUCGCCCUUGCACACACUCACAUGGUGGUGUUCCCCCACUCACACGUGACGGGCCGGCCUCCCUCUCACACGCACCUGGGAGCUCGCACACUCACACCCAGUCAGGCCUCCCACACUCCAGCAUUUUCACACUCUCACAGACACGCUGUCUCGCACACCGACAGUGAGUGGGUACCGACACACACACACAUGCCCGUGUGCACACGCAGCCUCGGAGCCCUCCCGGGAGCACGUGGACUGUGUGCACAGGGGUGUCCCCGUGUCCCGGGGGGGAGCUUGGCCUGCCGCAUGCGUGUCCCCACCACACGCUCGCACACACAGGGCACACACGGAACACGCCAGUGCCGUGGGGCCCUCGGCCGCAGAGAUUCCCGGGGAACAGUGUGUGGCACAGACACGGCGGCUGCAAGACGCAGAAUCUGCAGGGGAACCGCCCCACGCUUCUAGCUAGAAGCCAUGAAUCCCCAGGGCUGGGGCGGGGAGGAGGGGAAACUGAGGCCCAGAGUGGGGCGAUGAGUCGCCCAAAGUCACACAGCUGGUCUCCUCCAAGGAUCAGACGGCCAGGGCGAAGGCGUGUGGAUGUUCUAGCAGCUUCUUUGGUGGGGCCAGGAAACACUGCUCAUUAUCCUGGUGCCCAGGCAACACCCCUGAGCUCCGCCUUUCCACAGAGCCUCCCGGGGACACUCAUCAGGCGCACCUAUUCCCCGGCCUCUGAACUGCUGAGCUCCUGGCCUCACGCUCGUUCCCCGGGACAGGAAGGACGAGAGGGGAGCCCUGCCUCCAUGCGCUCAUCUCUCUAGUCUGGGUGAGGCCUGACAUCAGGGCCUUUCCCCAUUAGGCAAACUCCUAUUCAUCCUUCAAAACCCCAGCUCCUACAGCCCCUUCUCCAGGAAGCCUUCCUUGCUCCCCAUCUCGGCCCCCCAGCCGCCGUGGGGCCCCCCUUCUUGCUCAGCCCUGCCGGCACGGUUUCUGUGCCCAUGUCUGUCUUUGCUGGACUGGCGCGUUCUGGAGGGACAGCCUGGCCCCAGUUGUGUCAAGGGCAGGCUUCGAUAAUUCUGCUCCCAGAGGCCUGAGCCGGCUGCAGCGCCCUUUCCAAGCUUCUGCCUGGCGGCGCCUCCUUCUCCCUCCUCUCCGUGUCCCUCCAGGACCGUCGCCAGUCCUCCCCUAAGUCGGUGUCCCCAUCUUCCAAAAGCGCCCUAAGGAGGCCACCCAGCAGUGUGGGGACGUCGGGUGGACCCAGAGGUGAGGCGUGUGGGGCUGUCAUCAUGCUUCCAGGCUCAGUGAGCCGGGGACUGGCAGGGGGGCCUGUUCUUAGGGAAGCCUGCUCCUCUCCGUUCCCCUAGACGGCCCCUGUGGGGGGCAGUCCCCAGGGUCCUGCAGAUGGGGAAACUGAGGCCCCAGGAGGGGCAGGACUUGAGGCCUCUCUCAAGGCCAGACUCAGUGGUUCCUUGAAAUGAGAAGCAAAUUCCGCAGCUGCAAAAAUGUGCCCCUCCUUCGGGGGCCCCAGGGCCCGGCCCCACCCCGGGGCAGGGACUCGGAGGCCGGGGCAGCCGUGCGCCGCGACACACAUCUGGGGGUAAACGAGGAACAUCUGGCCAGCACAGCUGGUUCUGAUGCCACGUCUGCGGCGGCCGGGGCCAGCCCCUGGGGCGGCCUCAUGGGGGCGGCAGUCACAGACACCCCCUGCCGACCCUUCCAGGCCUGGCCAGACGUGGGGGCCCCCAACCGGAGGCUGCGUGCUGCCCAACUGCUAGAACCAUCGCUGGCUCCCCACGACUCGGAGGAUCCUAACAACAGUGAGCAACGCUACUGGGGCCGUCAGAAGCUCUUUACGCACAGUAACUCCUAGCAACGCAUGGGCUAUUUUAUCCCCAUUUCGUAGAUGGGAAAACUGAGGUCCAGAGAUGUGAAGUGACUUGCUCAGGGUCAAACAGAACUUAAGUGGCCAAGCUGGGAUUUGAACACUGGUGAUCAGGCAAACUCCUAUUCAUCCCUCAACGCCCCAGCCCCAAUGCCCUCUCCUCCACAUUCUUAACCACUGUACCAUAUGGCCUUUCUAACAACAUUGUUGUGACAACAUUAACACCAGGCAACACUGGCUGUUCCACUUAUUUAGUGCCACGCACUGUGCUAAGUGCUUACCACGUUUAAUUCUCCCCACAGUCCCUGGAAAAGAUGUUGUUAGUAUUAUCAGCCCCGUUUUCCACAUGGGGAAACUGAGGCUUGGACAGGUACAGUGACUUGCUCAAGGUCACCCAAAAAAUAAGUGGCCGAGCUGGGGUUUGAGGCUGGGUCUGACUCCCAAUUUGUUCUCUUGAUGCCUCCACAACCCCUGGGACCUGCGUAACAAGGGCAGUGCUGAGGGGGAGGGAAGAAGCGGGGAGGGAAUGACAGGCUCUGCUGUUUGGGAGAAAAGUAGGGCUCAGGUCCAGAGAAGUCUGGUGGGCCCUCCAUAUUCGCGGAUUCUGCAUCCGCGGAUUCAGCCAACCGCGGAUGGAAAAGCCUGUGACGGGUGCGUCUGUGCCGAACAGGGACAGACUUUUUUCUUGUCCUUAUUCCCCAAACAAUACCAACUAACAACUGUUUACACAGCGUUUCCAUUAUCUUCGGUAUCAGUAGUCAUCUAGAGAUGAUUCAAAGUCUACGUGGAUGUGCCCAGGUUGUAUGCAAAUACGUCGCCAUUUCUAGAAGGGCCUCCAGCACCCGCGAGUUCCGGAUUCGCGGGGCUCCAGGAACCAAUCCCUCGCGGAUACCUGGGAACCCCCGACCAUAAGAGGUUUCCUCAAAGCCACACAGCAGAGCAGGACGAAAUAAAGGGCCCCCGUGGCAGAAAGCCCCGAGACAUUCGCUCAACAGUGAUUGAGAGCCUACUGUGUGCCCGGCAAGGCAGGGAACUCAGAAUGACCUGCCCUCUGCGGCUGUCCCUAAAAUUCCCACCGUGACCCCAGCAGACCGGCCUGGGCCGCCAGCAGGCAUCGCGGUGGGCAGGAGGGGCUCGCGGGCUGUGAUGACAGGAUCAGCCUAAUGAGGCCUGGCACGCGGAGCAGCUGGCGCAGGGCCGGCGGGUGGCACAUGGGUCCCCCAGGAACGGCCAGGAGGACGCCACUCAAAGCCAGCCCGCUGACACAGAGGGAAACCGAGGCACAGACCCCUAACACUGGGAACCGGGGCACCCAAGUCACCUCUGCCAUCUCCCCGAGUUCGAAUCCUGCCUCGGGUCCCAACACUCUGAGCUGUUCAGGCAUGAAUGGGCCUCAGUUUCCCCAACUAGGAAGCAAGAUCCACCUGCUGCAAGCAGGGGCCCCCCCCCCCCCGGGUCUAAUUUCUUCCAGAACUGGCCCGAAGCCUGAUUUCACCCGGAUGGGAAGAGAGCCUUCUGGAAACUCCUGAGCACCCUUGCCAACCUUUCUGAACAGCCUCUCCCUCACACACUUGCCCGGGCACCCUGGAUUUUCCAAAACCACCCCUGCUCUUUCCAGCCUCAAGAUCUUCGCAUGUGCAGUUCCCACCACCUGGAAUGCGCUUGUUCUUUUUCCACUUUGAAAACUCCUACACAUCCUUCACAGCCCCAGCUCCAAUGCCCCUCCUUGGGGAAAGUCUCUCCUGACGCUCCUACCCUGAGGCACAGCCUCCACACCCCACUCUGGGCUCCACCCUGGAUCUAAGUCUGCCUUCCUUGAAGGACAGGGCCCAGGAGCCCUGACACCAAACAGUGGGCCACACCAUUGCCGUCCCGCAAACACUUGUGGCCCAUUUCUUGACCGCGUCCUUGCGCCCGGCUGCAAACUGUGGGGUUCCCUCUCGCGCCCCAGCCUCUUGGGAGCCAUAUCGUCUCCUCGAUCCCUGAAAACUGAGGGACGAGGGCUGAUGGGGGUUGCGAGACACUGUGCCAGCAGCAGGGGACGUUGGCUUUGUGCUCUGCACCCGCACAGCCAGCUCUCUGCAGCUCGCUCAGAGGGGGCUGUGCACCCAGGACGGCUUGGGGACCCCGAGCCCAGGAGUCCUGGGAGGUGGCCUGAAGGUCCCCAAGGCCGGGAAUGGAGGGGGGCGGGGAAGCUGGCAGAGCUGGGAGCCUCCCCUGGGUUGACAUCCGCCCAGACCAGUCACGCCCCGGUGGGGCUUCCUCAGCCCCCGGCGCUUGCAGACAGACAAAGAGUGUCAUGGAGCAGAGAAGGAGGGACGGUGGCCAGGGACGGGGCAGGGUGGGCGGGCAGGAGGGACGAAAGUCAGGGGUCCCGCCUCUGCACCCCCUCCCAGGCCCCUGGCCUUGCUCCCAGAUCCGGGCUGGGGACCCAGCCUGGCAGGUGACCACGGGCCGGCUGAGCUGGCCCGGUGGCCCCACGUAUACGCUGAUGCUCCUGGGAGGGGACAGCGGUGACAUCAGCCCCUGGGAGAGGCCACUUCUCUC